rnacentral:tRNA from 1 species
GUUGUGGCUCAGUGGUAAAAUACUCACCUAGUACGUGCAAGGCCCUGGGUUCAAUCCUCAGCACCACA